GACGAACGCUGGCGGCGUGCCUAACACGUGCAAGUCGAACGCGCUCCAUUCGGUAGCAAUACUGAUGAAGAGCGAGUGGCGAACGGGUGAGUAGCACGUGAGCAACCUGCCCCGAGGACUGGGACAACACCGGGAAACCGGUGCUAAUACCGGAUAUCCUUAUCGGACCGCAUGAUCCAAUAAGGAAAUGGAUUCCGCUU
rnacentral:rRNA from 1 species